rnacentral:rRNA from 1 species
AUUGAACGCCGGCGGCAGGCCUAACACAUGCAAGUCGAACGGUAACAGGAAGCAGCUUGCUGCUUCGCUGACGAGUGGCGGACGGGUGAGUAAUGUCUGGGAAACUGCCCGAUGGAGGGGGAUAACUACUGGAAACGGUAGCUAAUACCGCAUAACGUCGCAAGACCAGAGAGGGGGACCUUCGGGCCUCUUGCCAUCGGAUGUGCCCAGAUGGGAUUAGCUUGUUGGUGAGGUAACGGCUCACCAAGGCGACGAUCCCUAGCUGGUCUGAGAGGAUGACCAGCCACACUGGAACUGAGACACGGUCCAGACUCCUACGGGAGGCAGCAGUGGGGAAUAUUGCACAAUGGGCGCAAGCCUGAUGCAGCCAUGCCGCGUGUAUGAAGAAGGCCUUCGGGUUGUAAAGUACUUUCAGCAGGGAGGAAGGUGUUGUGGUUAAUAACCGCAGCAAUUGACGUUACCCGCAGAAGAAGCACCGGCUAACUCCGUGCCAGCCGCCGCCGUAA